AAAGCAGGCUGGGCAGUCGCGGGGGCAUAAUGUCCUCGAGGAAAGUCCGAGCUCCAUAGGGCAGGGUGCUGGGUAACGCCCAGUGAGGGUGACCUUAAGGAAAGUGCCACAGAAAUUAAACCGCUCUUUUUGGAUGUUGGAAGUUAGAGGUUAGAAGUUGGAUAGACACCCAUGUCGCUCGCGGCAUCAUCAGAAGGAUGAAAAUGCGCCUUAGCUGGCCCUCACACUAGCCCUCUCCCGCAGGGAGAGGGGAUAAGCUGGGCAGAGGUGACUGUUGGUGGCUAUUUUCAGGGCAGAAGAGCUUAGAUCCAAUUUCCAACUUCCAAUUUCCAACAUCUAGGAGGAGUAAGGAUGAAACGGUGCGGUAAGAGCGCACCAGCGGUCAGGCGACUGGCCGGCUAGGCAAA
rnacentral:RNase_P_RNA from 1 species